rnacentral:rRNA from 1 species
CUAGCGUACUUCAGGUAGUUUGACUCCGUGGCUCAGGACGAACGCUGGCGGCGUGCCUAACACAUGCAAGUCGAACGGAGUUAAGACUUCGGUUUUAACUUAGUGGCGAACGGGUGAGUAACGCGUGAGAAACCUGCCUUUCAGUGGGGGACAACAGUUGGAAACGACUGCUAAUACCGCAUAAUGUACACGGACCGCAUGAUCUGUGUACCAAAGCUUUAUGUGCUGAAAGAUGGUCUCGCGUCUGAUUAGCUAGUUGGUGAGGUAACGGCUCACCAAGGCGACGAUCAGUAGCCGGUCUGAGAGGAUGAACGGCCACAUUGGGACUGAGAUACGGCCCAG